CUCCCCUGGCAAUGGGUGAAGAGACAUUUUGGUGGUGGUGGUGUUCUUCUCUCAGCCAGGGGCAGAGCAGAUGACAGCCCUUUGUUCGUCCUAGCUUGAUGCCCGGCUUGGUGGCCAAAGCUGUUUAACGCCUAGGACACAUAA